GGGUGGGGACUCACCUUCUUGGCUGUUUUAAACUCUAAACCUUCCAGGGCUUCCAUGGCCAGCUCCCGCCAGUCAGCGUCCGUCACGCCCAGGCAGGCGACCUGGUAGGCCUCCCGGAACAUCUUCCUGUCCAGUGGAUCUGCCCACUGACAGCAAGAUGUAACCGCCUGUAGACACUCAAGGCUCCUACUGUGCCACCCACCCACCCGCCUCUCUGAAGUGGAGCAGCCCCCAGCCCCAGCCCAGCCCAGCCUGUGCACAAACCAGAGAAAUGCCUGGAAGCAGGCGACCAUACUCCUUGCCCCGGCUCACGUUACCUGAGGCACCUCUACGGCCGACAUGGAGAAGACGUGGAGGCAGAAAAUCUUGGAGCCGUUGUAGCCCACCACGAAGCCCUGUAGCUUCUGCUGGUGCACGGGGAAGGUG